UUUAUAGGAAGAAGGACAAAGAACUCAGAGAGGUUAGGUAAUUGGAGUUGUAACUUACCCCUUACUCUUCUCUUUCUUCCAAUCUUAAAGCAGUCCUUGCCCUAUCAGUCAGUACUCAGUUCUCCAUGGUUUCGGAAGAAUGUAUCUUGCUACUUAGCUACCAUAGACUUAAGCAGAGCCACUCUGUACAGUUGUUUUUGGAUCUCUGGAAAGUUCUUACACAGUGUGAGGAGAAUUAGUUUAACCUGAGCUCAACAAAACUUACAGGUUUACUAAUUGUUCUUCAGGACUCAGAUGUUAGUCUUUGGUCAGGCCAAACCAAAAGUUGUUUAGACGCUAGUUAUCACAUUCUUUCUUUUUCUUCCUUUUGGUGCCUGUUGAAAGAAAGCCCGUCUUUCCAGAAAAUGACCCCUUACCCCUCAGUCCUCCCUUUACAUGGCACAUUAGUUUUACUCUUGAAAGAUGAACUUUAAGCAGAAAUUCCCGGCUGUGACUUUUCUUUGGCUUCCCGUGUUUGACAGGAGGUACAUAGACUGAAAAUGCCAGCUCCCGGACAUGAAGGUGCUCCGCAGGAUUCCCUGUGGGAUCCUCUUUUCUGCUGAAAGACUGCAUGUUCUCUGAUCCAGAGGAUCAAAAAGGAAAAACAAUUUGGCCUCAGAUGAUAUUUACCCCAAGUGGCUGGCCGAGAACAAAGAAGAGGCAGUGGCAGACAACAGGGAUAUUGGGAGCCUCCUGAUCUCUGGAAUGUACCAGUCUCCUAUAGCUACAUGCCUGAGACAUAUGUGGGAUCAUCUCAAAACGGUGUGUAUGGGAGGUUCAUGAUUUGGUGGGGAACCUAGUAGCCUGUAGCCGAUCUGGGGAGAAAACCACCAUCACUACCAACAACAACAAUAAUAACUGAUUACAUCAUGAAAGGUGCUCA
rnacentral:lncRNA from 1 species